AUUGAACGCUGGCGGCAGGCCUAACACAUGCAAGUCGAACGCGUGGCGGAGGGGUGAGUAAUGUCUGGGAAACUGCCCGAUGGAGGGGGAUAACUCCUGGAAACGGUAGCUCAACCCGCCUACCCUCGGAUAUGCCCAGAUGGGAUUAGCUAGUAGGGGAGGUAACGGCUAACCUAGGCGACGCUCCCUAGCUGGUCUGAGAGGAUGACCAGCCACACUGGAACUGAGACACGGUCCAGACUCCUACGGGAGGCAGCAGGGGGGAAGAUUGCACAAUGGGAGCAAGCCUGAUGCAGCCAUGCCGCGUGUAUGAAGAAGGCCUUCGGGUUGUAAAGUACUUUCAGCGGGGAGGCGUUACCCGCAGAAGAAGCACCGGCUAACUCCGUGCCAGCAGCCGCGGUAAUUC
rnacentral:rRNA from 1 species